rnacentral:rRNA from 1 species
UACAUGGGGUGCAAACGUUGCUCGGAAUCAUUGGGCGUAAAGCGCGCGUAGGCGGUUAAUCUAAGUCGGAUGUGAAAGCCCUCGGCUUAACUGAGGAAGUGCAUCCGAAACUGAAUAGCUAGAGUACGAAAGAGGGUCGCGGAAUUCCCGGUGUAGAGGUGAAAUUCGUAGAUAUCGGGAGGAACACCGGUGGCGAAGGCGGCGACCUGGGUCGAGACUGACGCUGAGGCGCGAAAGCGUGGGGAGCAAACAGG